GUUAAGCGACUAAGCGUACACGGUGGAUGCCCUGGCAGUCAGAGGCGAUGAAGGACGUGCUAAUCUGCGAUAAGCGUCGGUAAGGUGAUAUGAACCGUUAUAACCGGCGAUUUCCGAAUGGGGAAACCCAGUGUGUUUCGACACACUAUCAUUAACUGAAUCCAUAGGUUAAUGAGGCGAACCGGGGGAACUGAAACAUCUAAGUACCCCGAGGAAAAGAAAUCAACCGAGAUUCCCCCAGUAGCGGCGAGCGAACGGGGAGCAGCCCAGAGCCUGAAUCAGUGUGUGUGUUAGUGGAAGCGUCUGGAAAGGCGCGCGAUACAGGGUGACAGCCCCGUACACAAAAAUGCACAUGCUGUGAGCUCGAUGAGUAGGGCGGGACACGUGGUAUCCUGUCUGAAUAUGGGGGGACCAUCCUCCAAGGCUAAAUACUCCUGACUGACCGAUAGUGAACCAGUACCGUGAGGGAAAGGCGAAAAGAACCCCGGCGAGGGGAGUGAAAAAGAACCUGAAACCGUGUACGUACAAGCAGUGGGAGCACGCUUAGGCGUGUGACUGCGUACCUUUUGUAUAAUGGGUCAGCGACUUAUAUUCUGUAGCAAGGUUAACCGAAUAGGGGAGCCGAAGGGAAACCGAGUCUUAACUGGGCGUUAAGUUGCAGGGUAUAGACCCGAAACCCGGUGAUCUAGCCAUGGGCAGGUUGAAGGUUGGGUAACACUAACUGGAGGACCGAACCGACUAAUGUUGAAAAAUUAGCGGAUGACUUGUGGCUGGGGGUGAAAGGCCAAUCAAACCGGGAGAUAGCUGGUUCUCCCCGAAAGCUAUUUAGGUAGCGCCUCGUGAAUUCAUCUCCGGGGGUAGAGCACUGUUUCGGCAAGGGGGUCAUCCCGACUUACCAA
rnacentral:rRNA from 1 species